UCCUGCAGCUGACCUCCUGGCCACCCUUCCCCCUCCUGUUGCGCACCCUCUCGCCACAUCCUUCCGCCCUAUCUACGCCCUCCCUCCCUGGCUCCCGCCCUCCCUCGCUGUGAGCCUGCCAGCCUCCGCUGUGAGCCUGCCAGCCUCCGGUGUGAGUCCUGCCAGCUGAGGUUGAGUCACCGGUAUACAGUUGUCCACAGGGCCUGAGAGAUCUCAACAAAACAGACCCUCAGUUCAGGGGUGUUUUCAUUAGGGCACACAUCAACAAAAAAUGUUGUUUUUUUUGCUUGUCACAUGUGGCCACUGUGCUACAUUUCACAAAGUAACGUCUCAUGCUGUAGUGCAUCAACAUGUCAUUAAAAGGUUGUAUAAGUGAAUGUCCCUUGAGGAGUACCAUGGUAACAUACAAUCUUGGGUGGCACACCCCAACUGUAUCGUCUUGUUAUAAACGGCAUGCUGUCUGGAUCUGCAUGGCAUUUAGCCUAGUCGACAGUGAGUGUAGGAACAAUAUCUGAAUUCACCAUAGUAAUUAUCUCAAUGUACAUGUAUGAUUCGAUCAAAUUCUUUACAUGUUUUGCUCCAAUCUAAAUGCUGUUAAUAGUGAAAAGGAUUGCCUUAACCUGCAUUGCCUCUAUAGAAUAAGAUCAACAUGGUUAUCAUGGCUUUAUAGCCAUAUGUAUUAUAAUGGGUUCCUAUCAUUACUUACAUAUGGCUACUUACAGUACAGUAUCACAUCUUGAUACAGCCCUUGCUUGGUCAAAAGUAGUGCACUAAAUAGGUGACCAGGUGCUAUUUGGGACACAAUCUUGAUGUUCUUGGAGCUGCUGUGUCCAAAGUCUCCAUGGACACAUCACUCUCUGUCUGACAGAGAGAUGGAUACCACUCCCUAAUGUGUUUCAGUUAUUAUCAUGUGUUGUCAUUACCACUGAUGACUAGGCGGUAAUGGAGUGAAGGACACAGGUAGGUAAUUACACAACAAGCAAGGGUUUAACAGACCAUUAGAUUAUCUUUAGUGAUUUUCAUACUCCCUUUUACUUGAGCUGUUAGCUAUACCAUGCUGUAAGGAGUACAGGUGUGUUUCGCACGGUCUUAUUUUAUAGUCUUAUCUAAGCAAACAGUCCUAUAGAAAUCACUCCACGGGCUAGCUGCCAAUGUUUACAGAGGAUGGGCCUAGCUUUCAGAGCACCCCGUUUUACACUCUGCAAUGUGUAAAUCCUAAAACGCAUGAAGGCGCAAAACACAUGGGAAACGUUGUAUGAAAUAAAUGCCUGCUAUUGAACCAUGCUCAUUGCGCACUCAAACUGGACCUGUAGGCUGUCUGUGUGAACUGGGCAAAAGAGAGGAGCUUUAAUUCACACAUGUGUUUAUUUUGUACCUUAUUUUGUACCUAAUAUUUCAACUGAGGCUUGGGUUUUAUUUUUUAUUUAUUUUUGCGCUCAAGUUCAAAAUGAAGUUGACGUUCGAAUGCGGUUGCCUGGAGACAAUCACGAGACGGUUAAGAAAGGAAAGUGAAAGUAAUGUUGACAGUAGCUCCAGGUCUUAAGGAGUCCAACCGGCUGUGUGACUGUCCAGGCGUGGCACUACGAUCUGUCACGAUGACUCUUGUCAGAUUACUGAGGUGUGAAUUUUCAUCAGCAAUAGCAAUGGGCGAUAAUAUGGAUUAAGUAAACGCAUGUAAUUACACAACAAGCAAUGUAUUUGUGUGUUCAGGAGGGCGUUUUUGUUGUCAGUUGCCACAGAUAAUUAUUUUUAUGAACCGCCUGCUUCGAACAGCCUUGGUUAUACUGUAAAAACUAACUUUGAAUAUAUAUUUAAAAAAUUAACCCUUUAACUAGGCAAGUAAAUUAUUAUUUACAAUGACGGCCAAACCCGGAUAACGCUGGGCCAAUUGUGCGCUGCCGUAUGGGACUCCCAAUCACGGCUGGAUGUAAUGCAGCUUCGAUUCGAACCAGGUACUGCAGUGGAGCUUCUUGCACUGGGAUGCAGUGUUAGACCACUGCGCCACUCGGGAGCUAAUAUUACUCUUAAAAUGAAAGAGAAAAAAUGGUGUCGCAGGCCGGAUAUUGACAAGAAGAAAUGUACUAAUUUAUUAACAACCUAACGUUUUGACAACGGUAUUUUGUAAAUGUUUGCGUCUCACAUAGUGAGGCACCUCCUUUGGUAUUGCAAGUGUUUAAGGCUGUCAGUCGCCAUCUUUCUCCAUAUUCAGAAUGUGACUAGAAUUUACCGAGAUAAGCACCUCAAUCCCACACAAAAACGUAUUCAUUAAAUGUAUUUCCUGGUUGUCCCAGGUCUGCGUCGACAACGUCCUGAAGACUAUGAAGGAGAAUGCCAACAAGGCCAGCAGUAUCCUGCUCACUGCUAUCCCCUUGAUCUGCAACCAGGAGGACUGGACCCACACCAUAAAGGCUCUGAAGGCAACAGCGCAAUCCUCAAUAAUGCUACCGAAACAACACUGAGAACCACCGAAAAGCCCCUCUUCACCCCUGUAUAUCAGAGAAUGACUUGCAACACACCAGCCACCAAUACCAACAAUGGAUUCAUCUCGCUCUCUCUCGAUUCCUCAUCAGUGAAUCACAAUAAAGUGCCUAAUAUGCAUGUUUUCAGUACUGUACAUUUGCCAGGAUUUCACAACACAUUUGAGUAACAUUACAUCGUUUGCCAGAAGCAUACCAUCCUGAAUCCCACUGCUGGCUUGCCUCUGAAGCUACGCAGGUUGUUCAUGGAUGGGAGACCAGAUGCUGCUGGAGGGUGAAUAGGAGGCAUUCUUCUGGUAAAAAAAAGCUCCCAAGGCAGUGAUUGGGGAAAUUUCCCUGUGUAUGGUGCUGUCUUUCAGAUUGGAUGUUAAAUAGGUGUCAUGACUCUGGUCACCUAAAAGAUUCCUGCUAAAAUAAGGGUAAACAUUUCUCUAUCUUUAUUACAUUGUCAGUAUUUCACUAUAGUUUGUAUACUGUUCAUUUCAGCCAUGUUUUCAUACUGUAGAUACUAAAAUGUAUUUAAUUACUCAUUAAAGUAUGUCUUCUGAAAGGUUAAA